GAUGAACGCUGGCGGCGUGCCUAAUACAUGCAAGUCGAGCGAACAGACGAGGAGCUUGCUCCUCUGACGUUAGCGGCGGACGGGUGAGUAACACGUGGAUAACCUACCUAUAAGACUGGGAUAACUUCGGGAAACCGGAGCUAAUACCGGAUAAUAUAUUGAACCGCAUGGUUCAAUAGUGAAAGACGGUUUUGCUGUCACUUAUAGAUGGAUCCGCGCCGCAUUAGCUAGUUGGUAAGGUAACGGCUUACCAAGGCGACGAUGCGUAGCCGACCUGAGAGGGUGAUCGGCCACACUGGAACUGAGACACGGUCCAGACUCCUACGGGAGGCAGCAGUAGGGAAUCUUCCACAAAGGGCGAAAGCCUGACGGAGCAACGCCGCGUGAGUGAUGAAGGUCUUCGGAUCGUAAAACUCUGUUAUUAGGGAAGAACAAAUGUGUAAGUAACUAUGCACGUCUUGACGGUACCUAAUCAGAAAGCCACGGCUAACUACGUG
rnacentral:rRNA from 1 species